GACGAACGCUGGCGGCGUGCUUAACACAUGCAAGUCGAGCGGUAAGGCCCUUUCGGGGGUACACGAGCGGCGAACGGGUGAGUAACACGUGGGUGACCUGCCCUCAGCUCUGGGAUAAGCCUGGGAAACCGGGUCUAAUACCGGAUAUGACUCCAUGACGCAUGUUGUGGGGUGAAAGCCUUGUGCGGCUGAGGAUGGGCCCGCGGCCUAUCAGCUUGUUGGUGGGGUGAUGGCCUACCAAGGCGACGACGGUAGCCGGCCUGAGAGGGCGACCGGCCACACUGGGACUGAGACACGGCCCACGACUCCUACGGGAGGCAGCAGUGGGAAUCUUGCGCAAUGGGCGAAAGCCUGACGCAGCGACGCCGCGUGAGGGAUGACGGCC
rnacentral:rRNA from 1 species